rnacentral:miRNA from 1 species
CCGUUCCCCGCCCCGGGUCC